CCUGGCUCAGAUUGAACGCUGGCGGCAUGCCUUACACAUGCAAGUCGAACGGUAGAGGAGCAAUCCUCGAGAGUGGCGAACGGGUGAGUAAUGUAUCGGAACGUGCCCAGUAGUGGGGGAUAGCCCGGCGAAAGCCGGAUUAAUACCGCAUGAGACCUGAGGGUGAAAGCGGGGGACUCGCAAGAGCCUCGCGCUACUGGAGCGGCCGAUAUCAGAUUAGGUAGUUGGUGGGGUAAAGGCCUACCAAGCCUGCGAUCUGUAGCUGGUCUGAGAGGACGACCAGCCACACUGGGACUGAGACACGGCCCAGACUCCUACGGGAGGCAGCAGUGGGGAAUUUUGGACAAUGGGCGAAAGCCUGAUCCAGCCAUGCCGCGUGCGGGAAGAAGGCCUUCGGGUUGUAAACCGCUUUUGUCAGGGAAGAAAUCCUUUGAGCUAAUACCUCGGAGGGAUGACGGUACCUGAAGAAUAAGCACCGGCUAACUACGUGCCAGCAGCCGCGGUAAUA
rnacentral:rRNA from 1 species